GACGUAGGGGGCGAGCGUUGUCCGGAUUUAUUGGGCGUAAAGAGCUCGUAGGCGGUUGCGUAAGUCGGAUGUGAAAACUCAGGGCUCAACCCUGAGACGCCAUCCGAUACUGCGCUGACUCGAAUCCAGUAGGGGAGUGUGGAAUUCCUGGUGUAGCGGUGAAAUGCGCAGAUAUCAGGAGGAACACCCAUGGCGAAGGCAGCACUCUGGGCUGGUAUUGACGCUGAGGAGCGAAAGCAUGGGUAGCGAACAGG
rnacentral:rRNA from 1 species